AAUAAAAGAUAUUCUUGUCUGGUUGGAGAUGUUUCAUAGAGUAACUCUGUGGUUUUGCUUUUCUCACAGGUCUGUUUCUUAGGUCUGUGAGAAGGUAAUACAAGACAGCA
rnacentral:snoRNA from 1 species